GACGAACGCUGGCGGCGUGCCUAAUACAUGCAAGUAGAACGCUGAAGGAGGAGCUUGCUUCUCUGGAUGAGUUGCGAACGGGUGAGUAACGCGUAGGUAACCUGCCUGGUAGCGGGGGAUAACUAUUGGAAACGAUAGCUAAUACCGCAUAAUAGUAGAUGUUGCAUGACAUUUGCUUAAAAGGUGCAAUUGCAUCACUACCAGAUGGACCUGCGUUGUAUUAGCUAGUUGGUGGGGUAACGGCUCACCAAGGCGACGAUACAUAGCCGACCUGAGAGGGUGAUCAGCCACACUGGGACUGAGACACGGCCCAGACUCCUACGGGAGGCAGCAGUAGGGAAUCUUCGGCAAUGGACGGAAGUCUGACCGAGCAACGCCGCGUGAGUGAAGAAGGUUUUCGGAUCGUAAAGCUCUGUUGUAAGAGAAGAACGAGGGUGAGAGUGGAAAGUUCACACUGUGACGGUAUCUUACCAGAAAGGGACGGCUAACUACGUG
rnacentral:rRNA from 1 species